GUUCCACCAAAUUAUAUCCACUUGGAACCUCAGGAUGUCCGCUCAGGUGGAAAUAGUUAGAUGUAAUCAGUUAGGAUCUGGAGAUCGGGGUUUAGAGUCGCUGGGAACCUGGUCCCUGGUUGCUUAUUGCUUCACUGUCAGCUGAAACUUGUUAGUGCCAAAGCCUACCAGUGCCAGACUCAAAUUUGUGCACACUCGGCAAUUUAAAACUAACGUGAACGUGCAGGUUUUUAGCCGUUGAGAGAUUGCCUACUUUUCAGACUGCACAGAACCUGACAGCUGUUACCCAUAGAUAAGACAGGUCCCAAGAUGCGGUGGUCCUUGGUGUUCUCUGAUCCAGAGCCCCCUCACCAGACUGCCGAGUCACCUCACCUAGACACGUAACCCUCUCUGAGCACCCAGGCCCUCCUGGCCACCCCAGGACAGGCUGGUGCUGUGAGGGACGCCCUGGCCUGCAAACCUGUCACGGUGUUGUCUUGUCUAAAUAACCUCACGUGAGCUGCCACCACUGUGUGGCCAUGGCUCCUUCCUGGAUCUGCCCCGAGAUGCCUGGACCCUUCACAGGCACAGACGGAGGCGGGGCCUGGGGUGGCCGGUCUGGCUCCCAGAAGCUGGAGGGAGGAAGGAGCCUCAGCCCAGGCAGCGCCUUGGUCUCCAUUCUGCUGUUGAGUUUUGGCAACAGGGGAACACAGUUCUGUGGUUCUGAGCUGCUCAUAUGUGGUGAUUCAUCACACAGCCCAGGGAUACCCACACACACGACCUUGCUCUCCACCCGUGCUGAGUCUCUGAUGUGCCCAGAGUCGUGGGGCUGGUGGCUGGCACGUUUUCACUGUAUUUAUAAGCACAAACAGGCCCCUGUUAGCAGGAAGCCGGGUACCUGUCCUGGGCUACAGAGCCUCGGCGGGGAGGCUGACUUGUCUCCCUCACACCAGAGACUGCCCCAAACGGAGCAUCCAUGCCUUGAUUCCUUCAGCAGAUGCGCACUGAGUGCCCCGUGCGUGCCCUGCACCGUGCUGGGCGUCAGAAGGGACCCCUGUCCUUUUGGGACAGUAACACGUGUACAAAACACAUCGACCUUGAGGGAGCCUGGAGGGGAGGUGGCCAGCCGACCACAGGGCAGCUGAACACAGAUACAGAAGGCUGUGCUGGAAGAAACAGGACACACGUGACAGGCGUGGAGGAGAAAACUGCGUCCGGCAUCCCAGGGCCACACGGCUUCUCCUGUCAAUGCUGUUAUUUACUCAGUGAUGGAUGGCCACCCUCCUCAGCCACUCCGCCAAGCCAAGCGGAAGAGUGCUGUCACGUGUGCUCCGUGUUCAGAAGGGAAGGCAGGAGCUGCCCGGCGGGACAUAACAAUUCGGGGGUCGGGGAAGGACCCCGAGACCAGCAGGCAGGGUCCAUCACUCUGGCUGAUGAAACACUGGGGUGAAUAAUGAGAACCCCGAGGGGGUCAUGCAAGGCCACCUAAGGAACCAUUACAGAAUUCCUGGCAGUUUAUUUCCUGUCAUGGAUGUUUGCACAGAUGGCUCUGGUACAACACCAUCAGGGUGUCAGAUAGUGGGAGUCACACAGGAUGAAACCUCUUUAGAUCGGCGCCCCUCGCUUAGUCAUACGCUGUCAAGUUUCCUCCGUGUGUUUUCAUGGCUUGUUAGCUCGUUUCUUUUUAUCGCCGAAUACUGUUCCACUGCCUGGAUGGACCAAGUUUGUUUAUCCAGCACCUACUGAAGGACAUCUUCGAUGCCUCCAAGUUUUGGCGAUUGUGAAUAAAACCGCUAUACGCAUCUGUGGGCAGGGUUUUGUACCAACACAGCUUUCAACUCAUUUAAGUAAACGUCAAGGGGCAUGGUGGCCGGGUCGUGUGGCGAGGGUACGUUUAGUCCUGUAGGAACCCACCAGACCGUCCUCCUGAGUGGCUGCCCCUGUCUGUGUGCCCGCCUGCCGUGCCUGAGAGACGCUGUGGCUCGAGGUCCUCACCAACAUGUGCUGGUGUCGGGGGCCUGGGUUUGGGCCCUUCUAACAGGCGAGCAGUGGUGUCUCCUUGUCUGGAUUUGCACUUCCAGGUGACUAUUUUUUUUAAAUGUUAAUUUAUUUAUUUUGAGAGAGAGCAUGAGUGGGGAGGGGCAGAGAGAGAGAGGGAGAGAGGGAAUCCCAGGCAGGCUCUGCACUGACAGCAUGGGGCCUGACGUGGGACUCAAACUCACAAACCAUGAGCUGAAAUCAAGAGUUGGAUACUUAACCGACUGAACCACCCAGGUGCCCCAGUCACUAAUUUUUGACUGUACAGUUUACUUUUGUGGGCUCUUAGCCGGCUGGGAAACUCUAACCACAGAUCACGUCUUUGUUUUUCUAUUUCUAAAGGACAGGAUACAGAGAGAGCAUGGGGUUCAUAGUCUUCUCCAGCUUUUUAUUUUCUCGGCCUCAGAAGAGUUUAUGAAAGUGGUUUUCUAGAGCCAGUAGAUGUGGCUUCUUGUAAGAUGGUUUUGGCCAGGAUCAGAUUUUAUUAGACCCAUAGACCGAGAUUUUCUAGAGGGAAAACAAAAUGGGCAAUAAUUCCAUACAAUGAGGUUCCUUUACUAAUGGAUAUUUAGACUGUACUACAUUCACUUCCUCCCCUAUAGUAAACAAUGUAGUUUUCACUUGAGGGAAUGAAGUUUUGGGUUGCUUCUGGGAAGUUCAGGACUCUGUACUCACAGGGCGAUCAACAGACACCAUCACUUUGAAGGUACUGAGCAAUGAACUUGAUUAAAAACAAAAUGGCGCCACUGCCUAAA